rnacentral:rRNA from 1 species
UUCCUACGGGGGGCAGCAGUGGGGAAUAUUGCACAAUGGGGGAAACCCUGAUGCAGCGACGCCGCGUGAGUGAAGAAGUAUUGCGGUAUGUAAAGCUCUAUCAGCAGGGAAGAAAUACUGACCUUACGGUCAGCAGACGGUACCUGACUAAGAAGCCCCGGCUAACUACGUGCCAGCAGCCGCGGUAAUACGUAGGGGGCAAGCGUUAUCCGGAAUUACUGGGUGUAAAGGGAGCGUAGACGGUUAAGUAAGUCUGGAGUGAAAGGCCGGGGCCCAACCCCGGGACUGCUCUGGAAACUAUUGAA